ensembl:snoRNA SNORD1A small nucleolar RNA, C/D box 1A
ACGCGCCUGUGAUGGUUAGUUAUCCCUGUCUGAACAUCUCAGCUGAGGGGAAACAAUCUAUUCUGAGGCGUUG